GUGGACAUGGCGGGGUACUAUACAUGCAGUCGAGCGAUGAUGAGGAAGCUUGCUUCCUCUGAUUUAGCGGCGGACGGGUGAGUAACACGUGGGCAACCUACCUUAUAGUUUGGGAUAACUCCGGGAAACCGGGGCUAAUACCAAAUAAUCUCUUUUACUUCAUGGUGAAAGACUGAAAGACGGCUUCUCGCUGUCCCUAUAGGAUGGGCCCCCGGCGCAUUACCUAUUUGGUGAGGUAACGGCUCACCAAGGCAACGAUGCGUACCCAACCUGAAAGGGUGAUCGGCCACCCUGGGACUGAAACACGGCCCAAACUCCUACGGGAGGCACCAGUAGGGAACCUUCCACAAGGGGCAAAAGCCGGAUGGACCAACCCCGCGGGAGUGAAAAAGGAUUUCGGUUCGAAAAACUCUGUUGUAAGGAAAAAACAAUUACCGUAGUAACUGGCGGUACCUUGCCGGUACCUUAUUAAAAAGCCACGGCUAACUACGUGCCACCACCCGCGGUAAUACGUAGGUGGCAGGCGUUGUCCGGAUUUAUUGGGCGUAAAGCGCGCGCAGGUGUUUUCUUAUUUCUGAUGUGAAAGCCCCUGGCUCAACAGUGAAGGAUCAUAGAAAAUGGAGACUUUAAAAGCACAAAAGAAAGAAGUAAUUCAAAUGUAGCGAUGAAAGGAUACAC
rnacentral:rRNA from 1 species